rnacentral:rRNA from 1 species
CAAUAGCGUAUAUUAAAGUUGUUGCGGUUAAAAAGCUCGUAGUUGGAUUUCUGUUGAGGAAGUCCGGUCCGCACUUUGUGCGUGAUCUGGUUCUGCCUCGGCAUCCUCGCGGGGAACAUGCUGCGCUUGAUUGCGUGGUGUGGUAUUCGCGACUUUUACUUUGAGGAAAUUAGAGUGUUCACGGCAGACAAUUGUCUUGAAUACGUUAGCAUGGAAUAAUAAUAUAGGACCUUGGUUCUAUUUUGUUGGUUUCUAGAACUAAGGUAAUGAUUAAUAGGGAUAAUUGGGGGCAUUUGUAUUAACACGUCAGAGGUGAAAUUCUUGGAUUGUGUUACGACAAACUACUGCGAAAGCAUUUGCCAAGGAUGUUUUCAUUGA